UACGUAGGGGCCUAGCGUUGUCCGGAAUCAUUGGGCGUAAAGAGCGCGUAGGCGGCCCGGUAAGUCCGCUGUAAAAGUCAAAGGCUUAACCUUUGAAAGUCAGUGGAUACUGCCGGGCUAGAGUCCGGAAGAGGCGAGUGGAACUCCUGGUGUAGCGGUGGAAUGCGCAGAUAUCAGGAAGAACACCAACGGCGAAGGCAGCUCGCUGGGACGGAAUUGACGCUGAGGCGCGAAAGCGUGGGGAGCGAACAGG
rnacentral:rRNA from 1 species